AUGCACAAGCUCCUAUGUGCCGCCUUGCUCCUGCUCCUCCCCCUCUUGUGGUCCAAGCCGGCGACCUCUUCCCCCUCCGGCGGCCAUCGCUACAAGUCCAUCUUCAGCUUCGGCGACUCCUUCGCCGACACGGGCAACAACCCCGUCGUCUUCGGAUGGUACUCCGUGUUCGACCACGUCACGCGGCCUCCCUACGGCACCACCUUCUUCGGCCGCCCCACCGGCCGCAACGGGGACGGGCGACUCAUCAUCGACUUCAUCGCUGAAAACCUGGGCCUGCCGUAUGUGCCGCCCACCCUGGUUCACAACGGCAGCUUCCGCCGAGGUGCCAACUUCGCCGUUGGAGCCGCCACCGCUCUGGACACCGGUUUCUUCCAUGAGAGGGACAUCCCCGGUGGCUCCAGCAAGUUCCCCCUCAACACCAGCCUAGGCGUGCAGCUGGAGUGGUUCGAGUCCAUGAAGCCUACAUUGUGCCGCACACCUCGAGAGUGCAAGAACUUCUUCGGCAGAUCUCUCUUCUUGGUGGGAGAGUUCGGAGUCAACGACUAUCACUUCUCUUUCCAACGCAAAACGGUGCAGGAAGUCAGAUCCUUCAUUCCAGAUGUCGUCGCAACCAUCUCCAUGGCAAUCGAGAGGCUGAUCAAGCACGGGGCGAGGAGGCUGGUGGUUCCCGGCGUGAUCCCGUCUGGAUGCUCGCCGCCGAUCCUGACCAAGUUCGCCGGCGCCCCACCGACAGCGUACGACUCCAAAACCGGCUGUCUGACAGCGCACAACGAGCUGGGGCUGUACCACAACCUGCUGCUGCAGGCGGCUCUCGCCAAGCUCCGGACCAAGCACCGCAACAUCAAGAUCAUCUACGCCGAUUUCUUUGGCCCAAUCAUGGAGAUGGUGGAGUCGCCGCACAAGUUCGGUUUUGAAGAGGACGUACUUAUGGUGUGCUGUGGAGGGCCUGGAAGGUACGGUAUGAACUCGACAGUUCCAUGCGGCGAUGCAGCCGCGACGACGUGCCGGGAUCCGUCUGCUCGGCUGUACUGGGACGGCGUCCACCUGACGGAGGCGGCUAACCGGCACGUCGCCGAUGUUUGGCUGGGUGAGAUCAACCCGUCCACAGGAGUCAGCCGCAAGCAGGGUGCAAAGGGGCCAUGUCGACUGGGCCGUCACAAAAUAUAG
rnacentral:rRNA from 1 species